AACGAACGCUGGCGGCAGGCUUAACACAUGCAAGUCGAACGCGUGUAGCAAUACACGAGUGGCGCACGGGUGAGUAACGCGUGGAUAUCUGCCUUUUGGUUCGGAAUAACCCCGGGAAACUGGGGCUAAUACCGGAUGGUUCCUUCGGGAUAAAGAUUUAUCGCCAAAAGAUGAGUCCGCGUACGAUUAGCUAGUUGGUGAGGUAAUGGCUCACCAAGGCGACGAUCGUUAGCUGGUCUGAGAGGACGAUCAGCCACACUGGGACUGAGACACGGCCCAGACUCCUACGGGAGGCAGCAGUGGGGAAUAUUGGACAAUGGGGGCAACCCUGAUCCAGCCAUGCCGCGUGAGUGAUGAAGGCCUUCGGGUUGUAAAGCUCUUUUGGCGGGGACGAUGAUGACGGUACCCGCAGAAUAAGCCCCGGCUAACUUCGUGCCAGCCGCCGCAGUAACAC
rnacentral:rRNA from 1 species